rnacentral:rRNA from 1 species
GUAAAGGUAGAAGAUAAGGCGGGUAAUACAAAUUAUUCUGCGCCGCUGACGGUGACUAUCGAUACGCAAACGUCUAUUGAUCGCAUUGGGCUUCUUAAUGACACGGGUAUUGUCGGGGAUAACCUGACCAAUGAAGCACGUCCACAGUUUCAUAUUACGGUACCGACGGACGUGAACUCUGUGCAACUGAGUCUUGAUGGCGGCAUCAACUGGGUUAACGCAACGCUGACGUCUGACGGCGUUUGGGAGUAUAUAUGGCCGACAGAUCUGGUCGAAAAUACGUAUACCCUGACAGUGAAAGCAACCGAUGUUGCAGGCAACACGGCGACGGAAACGCUCAAUUUUAUCAUUGAUACCACAUUGUCGACACCGACCAUCACGCUGGAUAGCGCAGAUGAUAGCGGCACCGCCAACGAUAAUAAGACUAACGUUAAAACGCCGGGUUUUAUUAUCGGCGGUAUUGAUUCUGACGUGACUCAGGUCGUCGUGCAGGUGAUGCGCGAUGGUCACAGCGAGGAGGUGGAGCUGACGCAGACUAACGGGCAGUGGCGUUUUGUACCCGGCAGCGCGUGGACUGAUGGCGACUAUACGCUGACGGUAACGGUGAAAGAUGAGGCGGGUAAUAUUCGCCACUCAGCGCCGUUGACGGUCACCAUCGAUACGCAAAUCACCAUUGACCAUAUUGAACUGGUCAAUGACAGCGGUAUUCCCGACGAUAAUCUGACUAAUAAUGUGCGUCCGCACUUCCAGGUGACGGUACCGACGGAUGUCAACGUGGUGCGCCUGAGCAUUGACGGCGGCAAGACGUGGUUCAACGCGACCCAGAGCGCGACGCCGGGCGUCUGGGAUUAUACCUGGCUGGCUGAUGUGGGAGAGGGUAAGCAUACCCUGACAGUGGAGGCGACCGACAAGGCGGGAAACAAAACGACGCAGCAACUGGACUUCAUCAUCGAUACCCUACUGUCAGAACCGACUAUCGUGCUGGACAGCACGGACGACAGCGGAACAAAAGGCGAUAACCUGACCAACGUAAAUAAGCCGACGUUUUUACUGGGCAAUAUUGACGCAGACGCGCGGUAUGUCACAGUUGAGGUACAGCAUGGCGGCACGAAAGAGGUGCUGACGGCCACCAAAGACGCGACCGGCAACUGGAGCGUGACACCGAUCGGCACAUGGGCAGAUGGCGACUAUACGCUGACAGUGAGGGUGGAAGAUGAGGCGGGGAACGAAAAACACUCAGCGUCGCUGACGGUCACUGUUGAUACCCAAAUCACCAUUGAUGUUAUUGAACUGGUUAAUGAUAACGGUAUUCCCGGCGACAAUAUGACUAACGACGCCCAUCCGCAGUUCCGCGUGACGGUACCGGGGGAUGUUAACGAAGUCAGUCUGAGCAUUGACGGCGGUGUAACCUGGGUUAAAGCGAUGCAAAGCGCGACGCCGGGCGUCUGGAAUUAUACCUGGCCAAAGACAGUGGCAGAUGGUGACUACACGUUAACGGUGAAAGCGACUGAUAACGCAGGCAAUACGGUGACCAGGACGCUCGACUUCACUAUUGAUACUACGUUGUCGACGCCGGUUAUCGUACUGGAUAGCGCGGACGACAGUGGUGUCCAUGGCGAUAACAUGACCAAUCGCACCCAGCCGACAUUUGCCCUGCAGCAUAUUGAUGAUGAUGCCGUUCGCGUUACGGUCAGCGUAGAGCAUGGCGGCGUCACCACCACAUUUGACGCCACGAAAGACGCAGGCGGAUGGACCUUUACGCCGACAGGGGCGUGGGCGGAUGGUGAUUAUNUGUGACGCCUGCCCGGUGCCGGAAGGUUAAUUGAUGGGGUCAGCGCAAGCGAAGCUCCUGAUCGAAGCCCCGGUAAACGGCGGCCGUAACUAUAACGGUCCUAAGGUAGCGAAAUUCCUUGUCGGGUAAGUUCCGACCUGCACGAAUGGCGUAAUGAUGGCCAGGCUGUCUCCACCCGAGACUCAGUGAAAUUGAACUCGCUGUGAAGAUGCAGUGUACCCGCGGCAAGACGGAAAGACCCCGUGAACCUUUACUAUAGCUUGACACUGAACAUUGAGCCUUGAUGUGUAGGAUAGGUGGGAGGCUUUGAAGUGUGGACGCCAGUCUGCAUGGAGCCGACCUUGAAAUACCACCCUUUAAUGUUUGAUGUUCUAACGUGGACCCGUGAUCCGGGUUGCGGACAGUGUCUGGUGGGUAGUUUGACUGGGGCGGUCUCCUCCUAAAGAGUAACGGAGGAGCACGAAGGUUGGCUAAUCCUGGUCGGACAUCAGGAGGUUAGUGCAAUGGCAUAAGCCAGCUUGACUGCGAGCGUGACGGCGCGAGCAGGUGCGAAAGCAGGUCAUAGUGAUCCGGUGGUUCUGAAUGGAAGGGCCAUCGCUCAACGGAUAAAAGGUACUCCGGGGAUAACAGGCUGAUACCGCCCAAGAGUUCAUAUCGACGGCGGUGUUUGGCACCUCGAUGUCGGCUCAUCACAUCCUGGGGCUGAAGUAGGUCCCAAGGGUAUGGCUGUUCGCCAUUUAAAGUGGUACGCGAGCUGGGUUUAGAACGUCGUGAGACAGUUCGGUCCCUAUCUGCCGUGGGCGCUGGAGAACUGAGGGGGGCUGCUCCUAGUACGAGAGGACCGGAGUGGACGCAUCACUGGUGUUCGGGUUGUCAUGCCAAUGGCACUGCCCGGUAGCUAAAUGCGGAAGAGAUAAGUGCUGAAAGCAUCUAAGCACGAAACUUGCCCCGAGAUGAGUUCUCCCUGAGACUUUAGGUCUCCUGAAGGAACGUUGAAGACGACGACGUUGAUAGGCCGGGUGUGUAAGCGCAGCGAUGCGUUGAGCUAACCGGUACUAAUGAACCGUGAGGCUUAACCUU